rnacentral:rRNA from 1 species
CAGCCGCCGCGGGAAUACGUAGGGUGCGAGCGUUAAUCGGAAUUACUGGGCGUAAAGGGCGCGUAGGCGGACUGAUAAGUCAGGGGUGAAAUCCCAAGGCUCAACCUUGGAACUGCCUUUGAUACUGUUUGUCUUGAGUUCGAGAGAGGUAAGUGGAACUGCGAGUGUAGAGGUGAAAUUCGUAGAUAUUCGCAAGAACACCAGUGGCGAAGGCGGCUUACUGGCUCGAAACUGACGCUGAGGCGCGAAAGCGUGGGGAGCAAACAGGAUUAGAUACCCGAGUAGUCCCUGUCUCUUAUAC